rnacentral:rRNA from 1 species
UACGGAAGGGGCUAGCGUUGUUCGGAAUUACUGGGCGUAAAGAGCGCGUAGGCGGCUUACCAAGUUGGGGGUGAAAUCCCGGAGCUCAACUCCGGAACUGCCUUCAAAACUGGUAGGCUCGAGUCCGGAAGAGGGGCGUGGAAUUCCCAGUGUAGAGGUGAAAUUCGUAGAUAUUGGGAAGAACACCGGUGGCGAAGGCGGCGUGCUGGGCCGGUACUGACGCUGAGGCGCGAAAGCGUGGGGAGCAAACAGG